AGAUUGAACGCUGGCGGCAGGCCUAACACAUGCAAGUCGAGCGGUAGAGAGGUGCUUGCACCUCUUGAGAGCGGCGGACGGGUGAGUAAAGCCUAGGAAUCUGCCUGGUAGUGGGGGGAUAACGCUCGGAAACGGACGCUAAUACCGCAUACGUCCUACGGGAGAAAGCAGGGGACCUUCGGGCCUUGCGCUAUCAGAUGAGCCUAGGUCGAUUAGCUAGUUGGUGAGGUAAUGGCUCACCAAGGCGACGAUCCGUAACUGGUCUGAGAGGAUGAUCAGUCACACUGGAACUGAGACACGGUCCAGACUCCUACGGGAGCAGCGAGUGGGAAUAUUGGACAAGUGGGACGAAGCCUGAUCCAGCAUGCGCGUGUGUAGAAGAAGGUCUUACGGAUUAGUAAACGUACGUACGUUUAAGUAGGGAGGUAAGGCGUAACGUUACCGUAA
rnacentral:rRNA from 1 species